rnacentral:rRNA from 1 species
CCUACGGGAGGCAGCAGUGAGGAAUAUUGGUCAAUGGACGAGAGUCUGAACCAGCGAAGCAGCGUGAAGGAUGACUGCCCUAUGGGUUGUAAACUUCUUUUAUAAAGGAAUAAAACGAGGCACGUGUGCCUUUUUGCAUUUACUUUAUGAAUAAGGAUCGGCUAACCCCGUGCCAGCAGCCGCGGUAAUACGGAGGAUACGAGCGUUAUCCGGAUUUAUUGGGUUUAAAGGGAGCGUAGAUGGGUUGUUAAGUCAGUUGUGAAAGUUUGCGGCUCAACCGGAAAAUUGCAAUUGAUACUGGCAGUCGUGAGUACAGGUGAGGUAGGCGGAAUUCGUGGUGUAGGGGUGAAAUGCUUAGAUAUCACGAAGAACCCCGAUUGCGAAGGCAGCUUACUAAACUGUGACUGACAUUGAUGAUCGAAAGUGUGGGUAGCAAACAGGAUUAGAUACCCGAGUAGUC